GACGAACGCUGGCGGCGUGCUUAACACAUGCAAGUCGAACGGAAAGGCCCUGCUUUUGUGGGGUGCUCGAGUGGCGAACGGGUGAGUAACACGUGAGUAACCUGCCCUUGACUUUGGGAUAACUUCAGGAAACUGGGGCUAAUACCGGAUAGGAGCUCCUGCUGCGUGGUGGUGGUUGGAAAGUUUCGGCGGUUGGGGAUGGACUCGCGGCUUAUCAGCUUGUUGGUGGGGUAGUGGCUUACCACGGCUUUGACGGGUAGCCGGCCUGAGAGGGUGACCGGCCACAUUGGGACUGCGAUACGGCCCAGACUCCUACGGGAGGCAGCAGUGGGGAAUAUUGCACAAUGGGCGGAAGCCUGAUGCAGCAACGCCGCGUGCGGGAUGACGGCCUUCGGGUUGUAAACCGCUUUCGCCUGUGACGAAGCGUGAGUGACGGUAAUGGGUAAAGAAGCACCGGCUAACUACGUG
rnacentral:rRNA from 1 species